GUCUUGGAAGCGCAAUGGAUAGUGCGUUGGACUUCCGAUUCAAACAUAGUGGGUUCGAAUCCUACCUGAGAUG